ensembl:lncRNA
AUAUUCUGAUACAACUUUUGUAGGUAAAUAUUUGUAUGGAAAUCAGCUACAUUAAUAAAUAACUUGCAUGAUGUGAAAGCACCACUAUAAAUUUAAAUUAUGCCGACUGAGCGCAGCAUCUGACUGGGUGUGAUGAAAUAAAUCACAACAGCAGGUUUGAUGGACUAAACAAACGGUUUAACAAGGGUAUGGGUAGUUGAGCAAGGUGAGGUUCGUCCUGAACAAGAGAUUUCAUGUGCAGCAGAAUGUUGUCCUUCACACAAGAUGCUGUUGAAAAAAGAAGCUCACAUUUUUUCAGUCUUUCUUAGAAUGUAUGUAAAAAAGACUUUGCUUGCUGUUUAUGCUGGUCAUGUAACGUUCUCUGGGAAAAAAAAUCGCUUUCUCUGCAAAAAAGUUGAUCUGAAACUGUUAUGAGGCCUGAUUUGUGUUUCUGUCUCUCUUCUGUGUCUCAGCAGAGAAAUGCAGUCUGACGGAUGAAGGAAAUUUCUUACUAAAAGACAUCCUUAUUAGUUUCUGAUUAAGUUUGCCCUGAUUUUUUGCACCGGGUGAACGCUACAGCCCUGGAUCUGCAAAUGAGGGGCACAUGCUAACUAGCCAAAUAUGCCAACGAGCAAAAUAUGCUAACUAGUUAAACAUCUUCAAUCUUUCUCCAGAAUCGCAGACUCCACCUUUAAUUUCAGACUUUAGCAAUGAUGCACCUAACCUGAAAAGAGAGAGAAGUCACAUGUCUUUGCAUAUUCAGAGUUAAGUGAUGAAAACAUGUCACUGUUAAAACAGUUCUCUAAUUUUAUGGAUGUUUUUCCUUUUUAUUUUACAGAUUUAUACUCUGCAUUUUUAAAUACAAAAAAACAACAACACAGAAUUACAAAAGUAGAAUUAACACUUUUAAUAUAAAAUAGAAUAAAAACCUUCACCUUUGAAUUCAUUCGUAUUCAUUAGGAUGUUUUUAUGACCAAAAACACAGGAAGGACAAAACAAUGGUGCCAUAAAGGUUUCCUCUUACUUCUUUUAAUCGAAAAUGAAUAAUCCUCGCUGUAUUCCUACCAGUUAUCUGUUUUAUGUACAGUUCUGUUUUGUCUGUAUUCAAAUCAUUCAUAUUUUCAUGCCAAUAAAUAUUGACAUAGCUGUG